GACGAACGCUGGCGGCGUGCUUAACACAUGCAAGUCGAACGGAAAGGCCCUGCUUUUGUGGGGUGCUCGAGUGGCGAACGGGUGAGUAACACGUGAGUAACCUGCCCUUGACUUUGGGAUAACUUCAGGAAACUGGGGCUAAUACCGGAUAGGAGCUCCUGCUGCAUGGUGGGGGUUGGAAAGUUUCGGCGGUUGGGGAUGGACUCGCGGCUUAUCAGCUUGUUGGUGGGGUAGUGGCUUACCAAGGCUUUGACGGGUAGCCGGCCUGAGAGGGUGACCGGCCACAAUGGGACUGAGAUACGGACCAGACGCCUACGGGAGGCAGCAGGGGGGAGUAUGGCACAAUGGGCGGAAGCCUGAUGCAGCAACGCCGCGUGCGGGAUGACGGCCUUCGGGUUGUAAACCGCUUUCGCCUGUAACGAAGCGUGAGUGACGGUAAUGGGUAAAGAAGCACCGGCUAACUACGUG
rnacentral:rRNA from 1 species